CUUAAUGAAGUUCAUGGGGCCUAUCCACUUUUUGUUUUCGCAAGUGACCUAACCUCCAAUACUUGUGAAUCCUGUACUCCGGCAAGCAAAUAUAGAAUCUAUGGAUGAAAAUGUUUCCCGAAGUAUUUGAAACUACGCAAUACGAAGACAAUAGCUGUACAGAGAGCUCAAAGUUUAUAAAGAUUUAGAAUUCUCGAGAGGAGCUUUUUACUUUAGUGGGGAUUAUAGCUCCAGAGAUAUAUCGUGAAUUUUCAAAGCUAGAUGUAACCUAAUAUAUUUGAAUAGCAAUAAACAUUGGUUCAAUGAAACGGAAACCAAAGAGUAUACGUUAUGCAAUACGAGAAGGAUGCACUUUAUCAAGCCUUUCCUGGUGUAAUGUAAAGUGAUGAGUAUACUUGAUGGAAGAGAAGCAAAGCAGCUCUACAAUAUCGAAGAUUAUUAAUUAAUGAAUUCAGUUAACCAAUUAUUCCAUGUGUUUUCUUUAAAACCAUAUCUAAAAAUACAAGUUUGGGCUGACGACAGGAUUCACUGAAUAAGGUUAGGCCAAGCAA